rnacentral:rRNA from 1 species
UACAGAGGGUGCGAGCGUUGUCCGGAAUCACUGGGCGUAAAGGGUGCGUAGGCGGGUCUUUAAGUCAGGGGUGAAAUCCUGGAGCUCAACUCCAGAACUGCCUUUGAUACUGGCGAUCUUGAGUCCGGAAGAGGUGAGUGGAACUCCUAGUGUAGAGGUGGAAUUCGUAGAUAUUAGGAAGAACACCAGUGGCGAAGGCGGCUCACUGGUCCGGUACUGACGCUGAGGUGCGAAAGCGUGGGGAGCAAACAGG